CCUACGGAAGGCAGCAGUGGGGAAUAUUGGGCAAUGGGCGCAAGCCUGACCCAGCAACGCCGCGUGAAGGAAGAAGGCUUUCGGGUUGUAAACUUCUUUUCUCAGGGACGAAGAAAGUGACGGUACCUGAGGAAUAAGCCACGGCUAACUACGUGCCAGCAGCCGCGGGAAUACGUGGGUGGCAAGCGUUAUCCGGAUUUAUUGGGGGUAAAGGGCGGGUAGGCGGGAGCGCAAGUCAGAUGUGAAAACUCAGGGCUCAACCCUGAGCCUGCAUUUGAAACUGUGUUUCUUGAGUGCUGGAGGGGCAAUCGGAAUUCCGUGUGUAGCGGUGAAUUGCGUAGAUAUACGGAGGAACACCAGUGGCGAAGGCGGAUUGCUGGACAGUAACUGAUGCUGAGGCGCGAAAGCGUGGGGAGCAAACAGGAUUAGAUACCCCAUAGUC
rnacentral:rRNA from 1 species